UCGAACCCUAGAUUGACCACGGCCAAGGUCUCUAACUUGGGGAAGAUACUUAAUUCUUCUGUGCUUCCAUUUUCCUAUCAGUAAAUGAAGGACAAUAAGAAAACUAUAUCAUAAGCUUGCUGUGAGAAUCAAGUACACAAGAAGAUUAAAGCAAUCUGAAGAGACCUGUGGACCCAGGCUGACAGAGCUGUGCCCAUGUGGAGGUUACUGUUCUUCUGGCAGAAAGAGAGAAGAGAUUUCAAAUCCCAAGUUGCCUUUCAAAACUACUAGUGUGGAACACAAACACAUCCCUCUGCCCAUUGGCUAAAGUGAGUCAUGUGACGUCUGACUUCCGAGGGAAGGCGAUGACCAAUCUUCCCGUCACAGGAUUACUCCAUGACCCAGUACAAUCCAUCACAGAAGUCGAUAGAGAAGUCCUCGCUUCAUCUGGGAACUCUUUGUUUCUCAAAGGGAGAAGGACCCCCCACCCCUUGCUCAAGGGAGACACUUGGGACUCAAGGACGCAAAUGUAGGAGCCCUUCUAGGAAACCGCCCACUCCGGAGGCAUUUUCUCUCUGAUAUGUUGUGAGAAAACAAUGCCAAACAAACUUGAAAAAAAAAAAUGGAAGGAGAAAUGUGCCAUUAGGGAUGGGGAGAGAGAGAGUCAGGGCUGGGGAAAGCCAGUCUUGGAGAGAUGGCACCAUUUUCCGCCGCUCCAGGCACUUCCUGCUAAUGACUGCGUGCAGGCAGCAUGUGAACACGGAGGAUGCCAAGCAAGAACAUAAAAGGCAGAGGAAGAAGGAUCAACAUGUUUUGCUGCCAUUUCCAGGAAAGGGAUGGUGUCCCCAGCAGCCUCCCACAGUAGAUGACCAGAAAAAAAAAAAAUAAUAAAAGCAAAUACAAAUUGCGCCACUGACAA